AGGGCUUUCUUGGUAGCGUCACUCCUGACUACGUCCCAUUCCAGAUGUGGGAUACCUUACAGGGGCUCUCGACAUACAUCCGUGCAAUGUUGUCUACUCAAGCCCUUUUAGGUGCCAUUGGCGUAGGUGAGAAAUCUGCUACAGUCAUAGGUGCCACUUU